AGGACGAACGCUGGCGGCGUGCUUAACACAUGCAAGUCGAGCGGUAAGGCCUUUCGGGGUACACGAGCGGCGAACGGGUGAGUAACACGUGGGUGAUCUGCCCUGCACUUCGGGAUAAGCCUGGGAAACUGGGUCUAAUACCGGAUAUGACCUCAGGUUGCAUGACUUGGGGUGGAAAGAUUUAUCGGUGCAGGAUGGGCCCGCGGCCUAUCAGCUUGUUGGUGGGUAAUGGCCUACCAAGGCGACGACGGGUAGCCGACCUGAGAGGGUGACCGGCCACACUGGGACUGAGACACGGCCCAGACUCCUACGGGACGGCAGCAGUGGGGAAUAUGGCGCAAUGGGACGAAAGCCUGAUGCAGCGACGCCGCGUGAGGAUGACGGCCUUCGGGUUAGUAAACCGUCUUUCACGCAGGACGA
rnacentral:rRNA from 1 species